AUCUUAUCUACUUCUACUA
rnacentral:snRNA from 1 species